CCCCUCUCUGGGCCUCCUGUUUC
rnacentral:miRNA from 18 species